rnacentral:rRNA from 1 species
UACAGAGGGUGCAAGCGUUAAUCGGAAUUACUGGGCGUAAAGCGUGCGUAGUCGGUUAUCUAAGUCGGAUGUGAAAUCCCUGGGCUUAACCUGGGAAUGGCGCUUGAAACUACGGGACUGGAGUAUGGCAGAGGGAGGUGGAAUUCCACGUGUAGCGGUGAAAUGCGUAGAGAUGUGGAGGAACACCGAUGGCGAAGGCAGCCUCCUGGGCCAAUACUGACGCUCAUGCACGAAAGCGUGGGGAGCAAACAGG